GAUGAACGCUGGCGGCGUGCUUAACACAUGCCAGUCGAACGGAAAGGCUCCUGCUUGCAGGGGUACUCGAGUGGCGAACGGGUGAGUAACACGUGGGUGAUCUGCCCUGCACUUCGGGAUAAGCCUGGGAAACUGGGUCUAAUACCGGAUAGGACCACAUUUUGGAUGGUGUGGUGGAAAGUUUUUCGGUGUGGGAUGAGCUCGCGGCCUAUCAGCUUGUUGGUGGGGUAAUGGCCUACCAAGGCGUCGACGGGUAGCCGGCCUGAGAGGGUGUACGGCCACAUUGGAACUGAGAUACGGCCCAGACUCCUACGGGAGGCAGCAGUGGGGAAUAUUGCACAAUGGGCGCAAGCCUGAUGCAGCGACGCCGCGUGGGGGAUGACGGCCUUCGGGUUGUAAACUCCUUUCGCUAGGGACGAAGCGUUUUUGUGACGGUACCUGGAGAAGAAGCACCGGCUAACUACGUG
rnacentral:rRNA from 1 species